UAGGGAAUAUUGGACAAUGGGCGAAAGCCUGAUCCAGCCAUGCCGCGUGGUAGAUGAAGGCCCUCUGGGUUGUAAAUACCUUUUAUCUGGGAAGAAAUAUCUCGUUCUCGAGAAACUGACGGUACCAGAUGAAUAAGCACCGGCUAACUCCGUGCCAGCAGCCGCGGUAAUACGGAGGGUGCAAGCGUUAUCCGGAUUUACUGGGUUUAAAGGGUGCGUAGGCGGAAUGAUAAGUCAGUGGUGAAAGCCC
rnacentral:rRNA from 1 species